CGCGUGGGGAACCUACCUCUUUGUGGGGAAUAACGUUCCGAAAGGAAUGGUAAUACCGCAUGAGACCAUCGGCUGGGAUGCCGGUGGUGAAACCCGGGGACCGUAAGGCCUGGGGCAAGGAGAGGGUCCUGCGUCUGAUUAGCUAGUUGGCGGGGUAACGGCCCACCAAGGCAUCGAUCAGUAGCCGGCCUGAGAGGGUGAUCGGCCACACUGGAACUGAGACACGGUCCAGACUCCUACGGGAGGCAGCAGUGGGGAAUUUUGCGCAAUGGGCGAGAGCCUGACGCAGCAACGCCGCGUGGGUGAUGAAGGUCUUCGGAUCG
rnacentral:rRNA from 1 species